GACGAAUGCUGGCGGCGUGCCUAAUACAUGCAAGUCGAACGAAGCUGUUUUAACUGGUGCUUGCACCGACUUAAACAACUGAGUGGCGAACGGGUGAGUAACACGUGGGUAACCUGCCCCAAAGCGGGGGAUAACAUUUGGAAACAAAUGCUAAUACCGCAUAACCACAGAAACCACAUGGUUUCUGUGUCAAAGAUGGUUUUGGCUAUCACUUUGGGAUGGACCCGCGGCGUAUUAGCUAGUUGGUAAGGUAAUGGCUUACCAAGGCAAUGAUACGUAACCGAAAUGAGAGGUUGAUCGGCCACAUUGGGAAGGAGACACGGCCCAAACUCCUACGGGAGGCAGCAGUAGGGAAUCUUGCACAAUGGACGAAAGUCUGAUGGAGCAACGCCGCGUGAGUGAAGGAGGUUUUCGGAUCGUAAAACUCUGUUGUCAGGGAAGAACGUGUGCGAGAGUAACUGUUCGUGCAGUGACGGUAUCUGGCCAGAAAGCCACGGCUAACUACGUGCCAGCCGCCGCCGUAA
rnacentral:rRNA from 1 species